AUGGCCAAGAAGAAGCUGCCGCAGAGGCUCUUCUCCACCUUGCUCUCCCUCAUCUUCCACUCGAGGCCAUGGCUCUCAAGCAGCAAGGGUAGCAGCAGCGCCGCCGCCGGAUUCCCAUCCUCGCCGCUGCAGCGACAGCACCUCUCCAUGGCGAAUGACAGGCUCGCCGCGGCGCGGACCCUCGUCGUCGACGUCGACGGCGGCCUCCUCCGCUCGUCACCCUCCGGCCUCUUCCCCUACUUCAUGCUCGUGGCGCUGGAGGCGGGAGGGCUCCUGCGAGGCGCCGUGCUCCUGCUCCUCUACCCUCUGCUCUGCUGCGUGGGCAUCGGCGGCGACCUGGCGCUGAGGGUCAUGGCCAUGGCGGCCUUCUGCGGCCUCCAGGAGAGCCGGUUCCGCGCCGGCCGCGCCGUGUUGCCCAAGUGGUUCAUGGAGGACGUGGCCGUGGAAGGGUUCGAGGCGAUGAGAGGCGCCAAGAGGAGGGUCUGCGUGACGAAUAUGCCCAGGGUGAUGGUGGAGGGGUUCCUGUGGGAAUAUCUCGGGGCGGACGUGGUAGUCGGCAGGCGGAUGAAGGUGGUCUGUGGGUUCUACACCGGUCUCAUGGAGGAGGAAGAAGUGGCGUUGGAGAAGAAGAAGAUCAUGCUGGAGAGUGAUGCUGUGGGCCUCUCUGGCUCCUUGGAGUUUCUCCAACAUCCUCUCCCACUUUGUUGCAAGGAGGUCUACCACGUGACGCAGGAGGACAAGCCCGGGUGGCAAGCGCUGCCAAGGGCCAAGUACCCGAAGGCCAUGGUGUUCCACGACGGCCGGCUCGCGUUCCGACCAACCGCCGGCAGCACGCUGGCCAUGUUCAUGUGGCUCCCUAUCGGCGCCGCCCUGGGUGCCGCCCGUCUCGCCGUCGCGCUCACCGUGCCGUACAGGUACUCCACACCCAUCCUGGCGGCCACCGGCAUGUCUUGGCGGCUCAAGGGAGAGCGGCCGGGUCCCCCGCCUGGCCACGGCCGCGGCCGCGGGCAGCUGUUCGUGUGCAACCACCGCACGCUCAUCGACCCGGUGUACGUGUCGGUGGCGCUGGACCGGCAGGUGCGCGCCGUGUCCUACAGCCUCAGCCGGCUGUCGGAGCUCAUCUCGCCGAUCGGGCGCACCGUGCGGCUGACGCGCGACCGCGACAGCGACGGCCGUGCCAUGGCGCGCCUCCUGGACCGCGGCGACCUCGUCGUCGUCUGCCCCGAGGGCACCACCUGCCGCGAGCCGUACCUGCUGCGGUUCAGCCCGCUGUUCGCCGAGCUCAGCGACGACGUUGUCCCGGUCGGCAUCGCCGUCGAGACGGCCAUGUUCUACGCGACGACGGCGGGCGGGUUCAAGUGCCUCGACCCGCUCUACUACAUGGUGAACCCGAGGAUGUGCUACACGGUGCAGUUCCUGGAGCGGGUGCGCACCACGGCGGCGAUGGGGAGGGAGGUGCCUAGCACCGACUUGGCCAACCUCGUGCAGAGGAAGAUGGGGGAAGCGCUCGGCUACGGAUGCACCAUGCUCACAAGGAAGGAUAAGUACCUCAUGCUCGCCGGCAACGAUGGCGUCGUCAGAGCCAGCGACAAAUGCUCUGCUCCUCCCGGAGGGAGAAGAGCUCACUAG
rnacentral:rRNA from 1 species